GCCGGGCAUGGUGGUGCACGCCUGUAAUCCCAGCUACUCAGGAGGCUGAGGCAGGAGAAUCACUUGAACCCGGGAGGUGGAGGUUGCAGUGAGCCAAGAUCGUGCCACUGCACUCCAGCCUGGGCAACAGAGUGAGAUUCUGUCUCAA
rnacentral:SRP_RNA from 2 species